CAUUACGAAAUCCCCUAGGCCAAGAACAUGCUGGCUACAAGUCAGCACAGGAAAGAAACUGAUAGAAAAUGCACUGGCCAUACCUAUUAUACAUGGUAGCAUGAACAACUUACAUGUGGGAAACAAUGGUGUUGAAGAUAGUUGUUUCCUAUCCAAAUGCCGUUGGAUUGCCUCAGUUU